ensembl:lncRNA
CUUAUGUCAUGCAUAUAUAUAGUAGUGGUUUAGUACAAGGGCGGCAGAGCACUCUUAUUAUUCUAUCCUGCUUUAUUCUAUCCUGUAAUAACUAUCUUUCUGUAAUAAACCUUUUUACCUUCAGAAGAUGAGUCUACAAGUGUUGUCUAAUUUCCACGAGAAUUUGGCGUCUCCUGGCUCAGCUGUACGAGUCUUUCAGCUUUUCUGGACAACAAGCAAACCAGAGGACACCCGUGGAAAAAUUUCACCCUGAAAGUUCGUGUUGACAUGCAGGCGGUUUGCCCUUUAUUGUGCAAAGUGAAAGACCGAUGCAGCCUUACCACUGACGUAGGAAUCAUCAAGAAACAGCCUUAAGGAGGACAGAAUGGAAGACACGUUGCCAGCAGACAUUGAUGUAUCCAGCCCAACAUCAAGUGGACCUGAUCCUAAUUUUUGUGGUUGGCAGCAUUCACUGGACAGACUCUGGAUUCACUGCUACUCUAACCAGGACAAACCUUUGCAGUACAAUACAGUACAACAACAACAAUAAUAAUAAUAAUAAUAAUAAUAAUAAUAAUAAUAAUAAUAAUAAUAAUAAUAAUAAAAGCAUGAGUCAUUUUGCUUAAUUGUUCAUUUUAAUUAAUGUAAUAAAUAGUUCAGGGAACCUUAUUGUAAACUGUUAUAAAAUAGAAAAUAUUUUAUUUUAUUAUAAUCUUUAGUUUAAUCUACAUUAUGUUUCAUGUAAAGCAUGUCCCCAUCCAUCACCAUACAUAAUAUUAAAAAAAAACAAGAAUGUAUUCUGUAAUUAUUAAUUUAUUACUCCCAGUGCAAUAGUAAAAGCUUGUUUUAAUGGAUUUGACGCAACUGCUCCCCAUGACUUCUUCACUUCAUGACUUUGCAGUGUGAAGUUCUCUGCGGGGUAUCAAGAGCUCUCUUUGGUGCGUUAGUUGGCUGUAUUCCUUUUCUAAAAUACACUCACCAUGUUUUCCCCUUGCCAUCAUCUGUUCCCUAUAAAAAUAAAAUGAUUAAGCCCACAUUAUCAUAAAAGAACCACGCACCACAAGUGUUAUCUAGUUUUGCUUGACGCAAUUCUUCACAGGUAGGAGCUGGUGCUAUUACCAUGAAUGUUAGCAGUAAGUCAUCCAUACCAACUGUUAAGAAGGCACUGUGUUGGCUACAUGUGUUUUGUUGAUUUUAAUUUUUUGUUCAAAUUCAUGAUAUAUUCAUGCUCUUCCAUUGAUAGGUCUCAUUUAAUACACAGCCAUCCCAAUAGGGUCAAACUCUUCCAUCAUGACAUACAGUUUUAACAUAUAAAAUAGUUUAUUUGUUGGAAAGUGACUUCUGGACUGCUUAUAUUAGAAACUCUUUUUUUGAUGCUGUGGCUGUAUUACAUUCAGGGCCGGUUCUAGACAUUUGGAGGCCCUAGGCAAAAUUUAUGUUGGAGGACCCCCACACCGCUCCUAUAACAGCAUGUUUUUUUCCCAUUACUUUAUAAUGUUAAAGCUUUUUUUAAGUCAGCUUAUUAUAAUUUAAUUAGAACUCACUCAUAAAAAUUCCUUCCACAGUUUGGGAUAACGAACAGUUAUCUACUACACUAUACAGUAAAAUGAAAAAAAAAUUACAAGACAACAUUUCAUUGCCAACAAAUAAUUACAGAUGAACACUUCCUGCACACCACUUCAAUAAAUGAACAUCAGUGCCUUUAUCAUUUUUUCCUAGGUGGGUAUGGACAGGAUUUUGUAUUGUAAACAGUAAUGUAAACCUCAGCAGAAUUUAGUAGAUAUAUAGACAGUUUUUUUUUUUUUUUUUUUUAAUGCUCUAAUGUGUUUGCUCUUUGACGAUGGUGCUCGUGUGCUUUUGAACUCAGAAUAAACCGGCAAAUGAUCUAUCCCGAAAUGACUCUGAUCAACAGUAUAAGGCCCAGAUUAUUUUUUGGAAUACAUUGCAAUCACUCCAAAAUAGUGAUCAAAUCAACCAUGCCAUCUUCAAAGACACUGAAAACACAUUUGAGCCUCAUUCUGGUGUUUAAUGUGUUUAAUUAAGUGUUUCACCUGUAUCUGCAUGAUUUUAGGCAUUGUGCUGCUGCUACAUUAUUGGCUCAUUAAAAUCCUACAAUGUAAAGCAGGCUUAUGAGAAAAACCUUAACUUUACUCCAUUUCUCCAUUUUACCUCCUCAUCAUUAAGAUGAUGAGGACAUGUUGUUAACAGUAGGGCAAAAAAUGAAAUGCUUGGAGCGAAUAUAUUUAAUGAUUUGUAGUCUUUAUAUCUAUUCAGCACUAUGUUCUAGACUCGAGGUCACCCUGUAUUUAGUGCAUGUCUUUGAGGUCAUCCUAAGAUCUGCAUUAUUCAAGUGAUUAUGGUUGUACCUUCGGUCCAAUGAAAUUUCGCUCCAUGGUAGUACACUUGAAAUAAGGUAGAUGGAGAGUGUCUUGAAAAAUGCUGCAUUAUUCUUUUAAAUUGUGAAUCACAUGAAUGUCUUUGAAGCAUGUCAUAUCACCUUUUCAAAUCAAUGGUGCUCAGUUCUCCUAAGAUAACUGAUAGGAAGUUCAUUUGGUUGAGAACAUGACUAUCACAUGAGUCACCCAAAAAGAAAUUUGAAGAAAAGGAGAAAAGCUUGGACUGCAGGAAUACGUCUUCUACCAUAGGCAUGACUUGAAGUACAAAUUUAUGUCAUUAUAAAAAUCUAAAUUUUUAUAAUUAUGAUUUCAUAAUAAUUUAUCAAAGAAAGUAACAUUUGUGAAGGGUAAAUUUAGUAAUCAGGUAGCAACAGCAUGGUGUUAUGAUAGUGUUAUUAGGUUACUUUACAUUAGCAAAUAUGUUCCAUGAAAAUUAUCAUUGGCUUCAAUAAAAUGAGAUUAUUGGACUUUUAAAGCAGCAAUGUGCAACUUUUGGAGGAUUUCAAGGUUUGGAGACUAUCUAUGAUCAUAGACCAUAUUUUUUAUUAAUUGUGUAUACAAUGUCGUGACAACAGGGAAUGAAUGAAAUAAUGAAUGGAAACAAAACCUGCAAAUUCAUAAAUCAUGACGAAGAACACUUAAGCAUGAAAAGCAUUAGGGUCUCUAACCAGAGUUAAUCAAUAUUUAGUUAUAAUGCCAAUAUGUCUGAUGCCUUUGUCACCUUUCUAUUAAAAAUGUAUUGAUGUUGCAGAACAACCGACAGUUUUACGGUUCUAUGAAAUAAGCCUUUUGCCAAAGCCAGGAACAUGCAAGGAUUUCUUAGCUCAUAAACCACAAGUAAAAAUAGUAAGUGAGGAACUUUAUCUGAAACACAUUUUUAGAUUGUACACCGUAGGGUCUGUGUUUAGUAUUUUGGUAUGUUUGAUGGAAUAAGCAACUUUGCUAAAUUAUGUAAUUAUGAAGUGUCCCACUGUAGAGCCAUAGGUAGAGGGAUUUUUUUUAAUCAAACAACAUUGUUUGGUGCAGUAAUUGUGUUAUAAGGAAUUUCACAAAAGGUGUACUAUGUCAUAAUUAUGAUUUCAUAUUUAACCACCCAAAAUGUCAGAUUAUUUUGUCCGUUAGUUUGUUUAAUCACAUUCUAUUGGCUACCAGCUAUGACGGUUAGAAACAGGAUGAACAAAUCAGAAUCACACAUUUUCCCAUUUCUGGUUGAAAGCCACUCACCAGCUAGCUACACUCUGCACAUAAGGAUUUCAAGGUGAAGUUCUGGUGGAUUACUACAGAAGAAGAAAAAGAAGGAUAGAUCUACUUUUAUAAAAUAGAAUGUAAUUGCCAUCUGUUAUUAAUGUUAGUUGAAUGUUUAGUGUAAUUGUCAUGAAGGUGUUUAAUAGCAACAUUAUUAAGAUGGCAACAUUGGUUGAUUGUGCUGUAAAUCUAAAUCACCACAUGCUGUCAAGUCACUGUUCGUUGUUCAGGUUAGAUUUAAUGCAUCUGAACACCUGUACAUGUGCUCAUUCAUGCAAUUAUCCAAUCAGCCAAUCAUAUGGCAGCAGCGCAAUGCAUAAAAACAUAAAGCUACACAUCAAAUGCUUCAGUUAAUGUUCGACAUCAAAAUUGGGAAAAAUGUUACUAUGACCAUGGCAUUGUUGUUGGUCCCAGAUGGGCUGUAUUGAUUAUUUCAGAAAUUGCUACUCCCCUGGGAUAUUCACACACAACAGUUUGCAGUAUUUACACAGAUGGUACGAAAAACAAAAAAACAUGCAAAGAGCACCACUAUAGUGGUCAUAGGCAACUGUUGUGCAUAUGUUUUGUUUGUUUGUCAAAGGUUAGUUUUUGUAAAAUGUAAAUAUGUUCCUGUCAUUUUGCACUCAUCCUGUCUUCCCAUUAUUUAAUUAUGCAAAUUUUAUUUUCAUCCCAUGUGUUUGAUAUUUCAUAUGUUCUUAACGUGCAUUCCAUAAAUAUGAUCUUUAAUUAAAAGACAAUUGUAUGAUGGUGCUAAAUAGGUGGUGAACUUUUUUGAUUAUGUAACUUUUUUUUACCUUAUCUAUUUUUGAAUGUGUGAUCAGAGCAGCAUCCUUUAUCAAACAGCAUUCAUUUUUAGCAUACAAAGGAAAAUGGUUUGAUUGUUCAAACUAUGUUACACAUUUGAAAAUCCAAAUUCUCAGAAAAUAAAAGUAUUCCCUACCUGCAGUGGAAAACUGAGUUCUUUAUAGAGUGCUUUUAUUGAAGUUUAUAAUGAAGUGUCAUAGUGAAAUAUUUCAGUGGCACCCAUUAGGAGAGAAAGAUAAUAUAACAAAAUAGAAAAUAAAAAGUAUGAGAAUUUGGCACCUGGGAUUGUAGUGGCUCAAUAUUUCAAACUCAUAAUCUGACAAAUAUAUUACAUUUUGUUACCAUUACUACUUUUUCAAGAAUGUGGGAUGUUCAAAAUAUAAAACCCACAUCUAUUAUAAACUCUGAAAAACAUGUUUUUGAAAAAAAAUGUACAAAGAUAUAUUUGUGUGAUGGCCUGAGAAAAGUCCUUUAGCUGGUCAAAUUUGGGCUUUUUCUACUAUAUCCAGUUAAAUUCUUUUUCAUCUUUGCCUGCUGCCAUCUCUACAGUGUCAUUGACGGAUAAUUUGAGAGCCACUACAAGGCUUAUAUCUGUUUCAGUCACAUCUGAUUCCACUGCCAAGCCAGGAGGCACCUCUCCAGAGUCCAGAUCUUUAAUCCAGUGCAGACUUUGCGACUUCACCUGUUCCCUUUCAAAGGGAACUCCAUGUUACAUUUAGCAUAACACUAUGGGAGCACCCUCACGCGCGACCAGCAUCUGAAGCUUGUGUAAAAUCAUGCCUAUUUAUAGGCUUGCCAUGAUCAGGUGACGUGGCAAUUAAGUGCAUUGUGUGAUAUAUAUAUGGAACCUGUGAACUGUGCCGUCAGCCUUAUUACCUUCUGCGAUAUUGCAUGUUGGUUGUUUGUGUAGUGAAACAAAAAGACACUUCAUUUCCUCUCUAUCUUUUCUCAAAAUCUCUGGACUUUUCUAUACCUUUAAAAAAAAGAGAAGAAAAAAAGAAUGAGCGUGAGAGAAAAGUAUGUGAGAGAAUUCAGGAAGUGUGUUACGCCUUGCUCCCAUUUCAUCAUGGGGAGGAGUGUGCACUUUCUGUGUGAUGUGUCUAGUUAAGGAGCAUGCGAUGGCAGCCCUCGAGAGGUCUGACUGUAUGCAGUAUAACACCUUACUGGAAGCUCUGCUCGCGACUCGCGCUUUUCUCGGAAACCAAAGCGAGUGGGGAUUCAGAGCCUCACGGAUCUGGGCCGUCCGCUGCCAAGGAAGCUAGCCAUCUCAGGUCCGGCCGCUGCCGAGGCAGCUAGCCGUCUCAGGUCCGGGGGAUCUCUUAUGGAUCUGGAAGAGGAGCUGGAGAGGAGCGAUACUCUAUCUCUUGCUCUGUCUUCCAUGUCCGGCUCUCCUCUGGAUUUUGGAGCUCGCUUUGCGACUCCUCUUUCUUCUAUGGAAAUCCAAAUAAUAAAAAAAAACAGCACAAAAAUAAUAAUAGUAAUUACUCUCUGAUUACAAGGAGCCAGAAGGGUGUACUAAAAACUGAGAGCAGCAUAUAAAGAGCUGCUUGAAGUGAUUACUAAGGCUGGAUGAGCUUUUUUCUCCCCAGUGAAAGUAAAUCCCUCGCACUGCAGAAAACUUCCCUUUUUUCCAAAAGUGCAUGACAAAAUAUCAGGCUUCUUGGGGAAAACCAUGCAUAAGCCAUAUUUAUAACCCCACAAUUUUGGAUUAUUCAGUCAUUGUGGGGAAUGAACGGCAUGGCUAUUUAGCUAUGCUUAAUAGCAAGAGGUGCUUGCGAGUUACCUCUCUCCACCCACAGCAGGUAAAUUAGGGGUGUAAGGCCACCGUGGCAUUGGUGGGCAAGGUCUAUGCAGUAGUAGUCUUGCUUGUGGGUCACUGCAGACAAUGACAGUGCUGCAGGCCUACCAAGCAGACCUGCUGAGUGAGCUUGACAUAUGAUGGUAUUCAACCAGUUCCUUCCCUGUUGUGCCGAGUUCACCCGGGCAUCCACAAGUUGAGCCCGGGCCAGUGCUAGUGCGAGGGGGACACAGAAGGCGAGUAUGGCAGCCUGCCAACCCCCACUAACAGCCAGGGGCCAGGGGAACCGGUCGGUCACAGUCACGGCCUGCAACUAGGCCUGAUCUGAGAAUUUUCUUAAAGGCCAAGCAGACAAAGAGGAUUGGUCCUGAGGGGCCGUGGAGGGACGUACUGGGGACAUGAGGUUGUUAGGGUAGUUAGCCCCCAAUGCUACUGUAGGGCCUCCCCUAGCCAAGGCUGUCCCAAGUUUUCAGUGUUCUCUGGUCAGCAAGCUGUCACAGGGCAACGAAAAUCUGAUGCUUUUCCUCCAAUAGAAUGUGGAAUAGUUUAUGUCACUAAACGACUGUCUGGCAGCAUGGAAACUACUGCCAAAUGUGUCUCCAUGGGUUCUGUCUGCCGUAGAAAAGGGUUACCGGGUCAAGUUCAGAGCUCGACGCCCUCCCAGUUCAGAGGUGUGCUAACCACAGUAGUCAGCACAGACCAGAGCCCAACGUUAGUGCAGGAAUUAAGAUCCCUCUUGGACCAUAAAACAUGUACCCUGUUCCCAGAGGGAGGGAGGUUUUUACAGCCAUUAUUUCCUGGUCCGCAAAAAAUAGAGGAGUAUGCGGCCAAUUUUAGAUCUGCGUCAUCUGAACUGUACUCUUCAGACAUACAGGUUCAAGAUGCUGAUGCCCAAACUUAUCGUUCCACAGAUUCAGUUUGAGGAUUGGUUUGUGAUAAUAGAUCUAAAAGGUGCAGAUUUCCACAUAGAAAUAUCGCCCAGUGACAGGAAGAUCCUGGGAUUUGCAUUUGAAGUUAAGCAUACCAAAAUCGGGUUCUUCCCUUCAGGCUAGCUUUAUCCCCUGACACCUUCACAAAGUGCAUGGAUGUCAUUCUGGCCCCAUUGUCACACCAGAGCAACCGUUUACUAAACUACAUGGAUUACUGGUUAAUUCCAGCAUGAUCCAUGGAACUGGUGGUUCAACAUCGAGAUCUUGUUCUCACCCAAAUGAAGGGCUUCGGGCACAGGUUGAACCUCAGGAAAGUAUGUUUUCUCCAGUGCAGUGGAUAACUUUUCUAGGGGUUAUAGGAUUCUACUACGAUGAGGGUGUUUCUAUCCCCAACAUGAAUAGGGUCAAUCCUAUCAACAUUGAGCAAGAUAAAGCUUUAUCUUGGCACCCCCUCCAGUCUCUAUGGGAGACUAUUGGAGCUUAUGGCAGCAGCAGCCAACAUUAUACCACUGGGCCUAUUGCACAGGAGACCGUUUCAGUGGUGGCUGAGAAAUUGGGGGUUUUGUCCGAGGAUGAAAUCUCUGAGAGUAAUCAGUGUCACGCGGCGAUGCCUACAUGCUCUGGGAAUUUGAAGUGUCCCUGGUUUCUAGCCUUGGGUGACACUCUAGGAGUGUCUCCUUAGUACAAGGCGGUAAUGAAAGUCUCCUCCCUCAUAGGCUGGAGCGCGGUCUUAGACAGCUGUCCAUCUCAUGGUCUUUGGAGCUGCCCUCAUCUGGAGCUGCAUAUAAACUGCCUAGAAAUGUGGGCCAUAUUUCUAGCACUGAAAUUCCUUCUUCCUCAGUUGAGAGGUCACCAUGUGUUUACAGACAACACAGCAGUGGUCUCUAUAUUGACCACCAGGGAGGAUUAUGUCUGCGCCCCCUGUUCAGACAGGUGCAACUAAUUCUUCUCUGGGCAGAGGGAAAGUUUUGUCAGUAAGUGCAAUGUACAUUCUGGGCAAGUGGAAUGUGGGGGAGGACAUCCUAUUGAGGCAGAGACUGAGGCCCAGGGAUUGGUGGCUUCAUCCUCAAGUGGUGGAGUCCAUAUGGCGGAGGUUUGGCCAAGCAGGACUGUAUGGUUUCGCCUCCAAGGAGACAACAUACUGCCCGCUGUGGUUUGCCCUCACUCUUCCCGCACAAUUAGUGCUGGACACCAUGGUGCACAUGUGGCUGAGGUCACAUCUGUAUGCUUUUCCCUCGAUUGCUCUGCUCCCACAAGUUCUAGCGAGAGUUCACCAAGACAGUCCUUGUCUGCUGCUAGUAGCACCUUAUUGCCCAGCUUGAAUAUGGUUCUCAGAGAUAAUAUCCCUUCUAGGUGUCACUCCUUGGGAGAUUCCCAUCCGCAGGGAUCUACUGUCUCAAGCCGGAGAGCUGAUUUAUCACUCUUGGCCGGAACUAUGGAAAACUGUGAGUCUGGCCCCUGAGGGGCACCAGCUCAUAGAUUCUGGUCUCACAACUGAGGUUGUAGAGACCAUGUUGAACCCUAGGGCACCAUCCACAAGGAAACUGUAUGCGCUCAAGUGGCGGCUUUUCAUCUUGUGGUGUGAAGAAUGCCAGCUAGACCCAGUAAACUGCACAAUAGCUACAGUCCUGGAGUUCUUACAAGUACGUUUCUCAUCGGGGUGGGCUCCUUCUACAAUCAGGGUUUACGUGGCCACCAUUUCGGCCAGCCAUGCCCCUGUUGAUGGAGCCUCAGUGGGGCAACAUUCUCUAACUUCGAGGUUUAUGUGUGGUGUCAGGCGUCUGACACCCAUCUGCAGGCCGCGUAUACCUUCCUGGGACCUUUCUGUGGUCCUGGAAGGUCUGUCAGGUGCCCCAUUUGAGCCCUUAGAGUCAGCCUCUGAGAAGCUUCUGACUAUAAAGGUAGCUCUUCUGCUGGCCCUGACAUCUCUCAAGUGAGUAGCGGAUCUACAAGCUUUCUCUGUUGCCCCUUCCUGCCUUGAGUUUACCCCUGGAUUAGCCAAGGCCUUCCUGUAUCCUAGGCCGGAUUAUAUUCCUAAAGUGCCUACGUCUGCUGGCCAGCCUGUUUUGUUGCAGGCUUUCAGCCCUCCUCUGUUCCUCACACCGGAACAAGAGAGAAUGUACCUGCUGUGUCCAGUAAAGGCUCUCUGUACUUACGUCCACCGCUCCGGCCAGUGGCGUAAGUCGGAUCAGCUGCUGGUCUGCUUUGGUGGCGACAGUAGAGGUGAUGCAGUGUCAAAGCAGCGCAUAUCUAAUUGGAUAGUAGAAGCAAUCUCUAUCGCUUAUGAGGCGCGCAGUCUCGCUACGUCUCUGGGCAUAAGGGCUCAUUCCACUAGUGGGGUCGCCUCCUCAAAAGCUUUGUCCAACGGGGUAUCCUUACAGGAUGUGUGUGCUGCUGCCAGGUGGUCUACACCACACACAUUCAUUCGAUAUUAUAACCUGGUUAUUCAUUCCGCCCCGUAGUCGUGUCUUGCGGUGACCCUCGGGCUUGGGUCUUUUUAAACAGUCCAUACCCUUGGUAUGACGGAGUGGGUAUUCUCGUUCCCAUACUGUUAUGCUAAAUGCAAUUAGGAGUUCCCGUUGAAAGGGAAUGUCAGGAUUACGCAUGUAACCCUGAUCCCUAAGAAGGGAACGAGACAUUGAGUAACUUUGUCAUACCAGGGUAGGCCUGUGCCAUAUGUAUAUCACAUGACGCACUUAAUUGCCACAUCACCUGAUCACAGUAGGUCUGUUAAUAGGCAUGAUUUUAUACAAGCUUCAGAUGCCUGUUGCGCGUGAGGGCGCUCCCAUAGUCUCUAAUCCUUCUCAGGAAACAGGAUUACAUGUGCAACCCAGACGUUUCUCUGUGUCUAUAUAAACUGCUCUCUCACAAUUGCAGUUUGUGUUAUUAUGCACUUCUUGCCCAAUUUCUGAUUUUUCCAUGUGUGAGCUGGUUUAGCAUAAAUCGCUGUUUUUUAUCAAUUGGCCAAUACUGACAAUGAUUCUGUCUUCCAACUAGGAUUUUAAUAAAGAUUGCCCACCUGUGUCCAAUUUGUGACAGUUUUGCUAAGCCACAUAGUCAAAAACUUUAUCAAAGCAGGAAAUUUAAAAACUACACUUUUUUUCUAGCAAGCUAGAAAUAAAACAGCCAGACUGUUAAUUUUUACAGCUAUAUCGGUUAAAUUGCUUCCACAUUUACUAUGCAGGCAGAAAGAAUGUGCAGGUAUAUAAAGACAUUAUUACAUAAUUUUGGUUAAAUACAUUUACUGUUUGUUUGUUUGUUUGUUUGUUUGUUUGUUUGUUUGUUUGUUUGUUUUAAGUUGAGAUGUCAAAG